UCACUUCAGCAGCAAGUAUACUAAAAUUAGAAUUAUACAGAAAAGAUUAACAUGGCCCCUGCACAAGGGUCACACGCAAAUUCAUGAAGCAUUCCAAAAUGAA